rnacentral:misc_RNA from 1 species
UCCGGUUUGUCACCGGCAGUCCCACUAGAGUGCCCAACUGAAUGUAGCAACUAAUGGCAAGGGUUGCGCUCGUUGCGGGACUUAACCCAACAUCUCACGACACGAGCUGACGACAGCCAUGCAGCAUCUGUGUUCCGGCUCCCUUUCGGGCACACCCAACUCUCAUCAGGCUUCCGGACAUGUCAAGGGUAGGUAAGGUUUUUCGCGUUGCAUCGAAUUAAUCCACAUACUCCACCGCUUGUGCGGGCCCCCGUCAAUUCCUUUGAGUUUCAGUCUUGCGACCGUACUCCCCAGGCGGCGAACUUAACGCGUUAGCUUCGAUACUGAGAGCCUAGUUGCUCCCAACAUCCAGUUCGCAUCGUUUAGGGCGUGGACUAC